UACCGCUGUCCUGGGUGCCUGGCAGAGCUCGUGCACUGGCAUCCAGAACAGCGGUAC
rnacentral:pre_miRNA from 1 species